rnacentral:rRNA from 1 species
UACGUAGGGGGCUAGCGUUGUCCGGAUUUAUUGGGCGUAAAGAGCGUGUAGGCGGCCAGGUAGGUCUGGUGUGAAAACUCGAGGCUUAACCUCGAGACGCCGGCUGAAACCCUCUGGCUAGAGUCCGGAAGAGGAGAGCGGAAUUCCUGGUGUAGCGGUGAAAUGACGCAGAUAUCAGGAAGAACACCCGUGGCGAAGGCGGCUCUCUGGGACGGUACUGACGCUGAGACGCGAAAGCGUGGGGAGCGAACAGG